rnacentral:rRNA from 1 species
UACGGAGGGUGCGAGCGUUGUUCGGAAUCACUGGGCGUAAAGCGCGUGUAGGCGGCUUCUUAAGUCCGAUGUGAAAGCCCGGGGCUCACCCCCGGAAGUGCAUUGGAUACUGGGAAGCUGGAGUACCGGAGAGGAGGGUGGAAUUCCUGGUGUAGCGGUGAAAUGCGUAGAUAUCAGGAGGAACACCUGUGGCGAAGGCGGCAUCCUGGACCGGUAUUGACGCUGAGGCGCGAAAGCUAGGGGAGCAAACGGG